rnacentral:SRP_RNA from 14 species
GGGGGUUGCCCUGGCUCCAUUCGGCGGAGCUGCGUGCGCCUGCGUCCGUGAAGCGGCGGGGGUCGCGCGAGGCUGCGAAGGUGCGCACAGAGCACCGG